AAUAGAUACCCAGGUAGUCCACGCCGUAAACGAUGCUAACUCGUUUUUGGGCCUUUGGGUUCAGAGACUAAGCGAAAGUGAUAAGUUAGCCACCUGGGGAGUACGUUCGCAAGAAUGAAACUCAAAGGAAUUGACGGGGGCCCGCACAAGCGGUGGAUUAUGUGGUUUAAUUCGAUGAUACGCGAGGAACCUUACCAAGGCUUAAAUGGGAAAUGACAGGCUUAGAAAUAGGCUUUUCUUCGGACAUUUUUCAAGGUGCUGCAUGGUUGUCGUCAGCUCGUGCCGUGAGGUGUUAGGUUAAGUCCUGCAACGAGCGCAACCCCUGUCACUAGUUGCCAUCAUUAAGUUGGGGACUCUAGUGAGACUGCCUACGCAAGUAGAGAGGAAGGUGGGGAUGACGUCAAAUCAUCACGGCCCUUACGCCUUGGGCCACACACGUAAUACAAUGGCCAGUACAGAGGGCAGCUACACAGCGAUGUGAUGCAAAUCUCGAAAGCUGGUCUCAGUUCGGAUUGGAGUCUGCAACUCGACUACG
rnacentral:rRNA from 1 species